CGGGAAUAUCACCUUCUAUAUUAAGUACAGUAAAUGCUGUCGUGUUAUUUCCGUAACGCCCUUCGGCGUGCUUGACCAUUCUCUCACUGAUAUCGCAGGCCAACAAAGUCUUUCUACUUUUUGUUUAAUCUUGACGAAUACUCAUUUAAAGUGUCAGCUGCAUCCUGCCUCUGAAUACUGUUACUAUUUUCGUAAAACUCUGCAUCGUCGUUCAUGAAAAUCCUGAGAAUGAAAUAGAAUUUUCGAAGAUACAAUCUAAAUUAUUUUUAGUAAGUUAAGUUGACAGAAAGAUAAAAAAAAAGAUCGCCCAUUAAUAAUAUUAAACAUUGCCAACAUGUUGCUACCAUGAACACCUUCGAACCCGUUUUACUUCACAUGACUUCAGAAACCUCAAAUUAUUUCUUUACAAUUUAAAUAGAAAUGUGCAAUAACAUAUUGUAGAUCUUUUAAAUUUUUUAUAAAAGGCAAAACACAGAAAAGGAAA